AAACAAAAAAAAAACAACAUGGUUUAAAAAGUCACAGUGUGGAGCUGAAGUUAUAACUCAGUGGUAUAGUGCUUGCCUAGCAUGGGUGAGGCUCUGGUUUGAUCCUCAGCACCACAUAAAACAAAAAAAUAAAGGUUAAAUUCUUAAAACAAAGGAGGAGGAGGAGGAGGAGGAGAAAGAAAAAGAAGAAGUCCUCACAUUGUACAGCCAUUUCCUUGCCCAGAUCCAUCCUCCUUCUCCAGAGACAAGGACAGUUAGCCUUUUGCUUUUAGUUCAUUUGGUGAUCACCUCCCUGUCUUCAAAUAACGUACUUGUAGUACUAUUUCUGGUUCUUUCAAUUUUAGUUAUUCUCUAUGGAUUCUGUUAUAUACUUAAGGUUUAGCCUACUAACUUUACUGCUUUCUAUCUCCCCCUUCCUUCUUCUGCCAUUAUAGUUAAAUCCCAAUACAGGUUGUUCCUCUACUUUAAAUUUACAUGUGUAAGUGAUAGGUUAAACAACUUUUUCUGUCGACCUCAGACAGCAUCUCUUGGUCCUCCACAGUGUAUGGUAAGGGUUUUAUUAGCACUCCUGGCCUUUCCUCUACCUCUCCUCCUUUCUUUGUACUUUUCAGUCUAUUUUGUUAGAGGAGCCCACUUGGCAGGUGGAUUCCUGUGGGGAUGUAAUUGGAAGAAGGGAUGCCACUACACCUGCUUCUCUUUCAAUAAGCUACUGAAAUUCCAUCUCCCUGCCCCAUCCCCCCAACCCUUUUGGGACCUCAUUGAGAAAUGAGAGAUGUGUCUACAAUCCUAUUAAUGAUAUGAUAGCCUAAGAGCCCAUGAACCUUUAACCCAAAAGACCUUUGUCCUGUGGGUUGUUAACAACUAGAGGGUAAAACAAUCAGCUUUGGCCGUGCCCUAAACAAGUCCUGCUAUUUACUUUUCCCAUGCCCUUUUAAGCCAAUGGCUGUAAAAACUUCAGUAAUAUAACCUCUGUG
rnacentral:lncRNA from 1 species